GUCAGCCCGGUGUUCCUUGGCGGCGAGCCGGAAAACCUUGAAGCGCAUGCCACGGGGCCCAUUCAGUCCACCCCGUUCGCCCCAGGCCCUGCCGGUGCGCCUGUGGGCAGCCAACCAUUCUACUUCCUUUCCCUCCGAGGCGUCACCGUCGGCGAGACGCGGCUGCCGUUCAACGCUUCUACGUUCGCACUCAAGAGCGAUGGCUCUGGCGGGACGGUCAUCGACUCCGGCACGGCCAUCACAUCCUUCCCGCAGGCCGUGUUCCGGAGCCUCCGGGAGGCGUUCGUGGCGCAGGUACCGCUACCUGUCGCCACAGGGUACACCGACGGCAGGCUGUGCUUCUCCGUUCCGGCGAAGAAGAAGGCGCCUGACAUGCCGAAGCUGAUCCUCCAUCUGGAGGGUGCAGACUGGGAGCUUCCACGGGACAACUACGUGCUGGAUAACGACGACGACGGCAGCGGCGCGGGCAGGGAGCUGUGCGUCGUCAUACUUUCUGCAGGCAACAGCAACGGGACGAUCAUCGGCAACUUCCAGCAGCAGAACAUGCACAUAGUCUACGACCUGGAGAGCAACAAGAUGGUCUUCGCGCCUGCGCGUUGCGACAAGCUGUAACUGUACUGUGUACGUUCUAGGGACAANGCCGUGUCCCGUGCUCCGACCCUCUCUGCGGGCACGCCGUGUACCUCCCGCUCUCCGGGUGCGCCGCCAGAGACAGGUCAUGCUUCUAUGCAUACGGCUACAUGAACCAUUCGAUCACGACGGGCAAGAUGGCCGAGGACACUUUCACAUUCAAGGCGCCCGACCGGGCGGACACUGCUGCGGCCGUGCCUAACAUCCGCUUUGGUUGUGGCAUGAUGAACAACGGCCUCUUCACCCCGAAUCAGUCCGGCAUCGCCGGUUUCGGCACCGGCCCGUUGUCGCUGCCGUCGCAGCUCAAGGUCCGUAGGUUCUCCUACUGCUUCACGGCCAUGGAAGAGUCGACGGUCAGCCCGGUGUUCCUUGGCGGCGAGCCGGAAAACCUUGAAGCGCAUGCCACGGGGCCCAUUCAGUCCACCCCGUUCGCCCCAGGCCCUGCCGGUGCGCCUGUGGGCAGCCAACCAUUCUACUUCCUUUCCCUCCGAGGCGUCACCGUCGGCGAGACGCGGCUGCCGUUCAACGCUUCUACGUUCGCACUCAAGAGCGAUGGCUCUGGCGGGACGGUCAUCGACUCCGGCACGGCCAUCACAUCCUUCCCGCAGGCCGUGUUCCGGAGCCUCCGGGAGGCGUUCGUGGCGCAGGUACCGCUACCUGUCGCC
rnacentral:lncRNA from 1 species